UACGUAGGGUGCGAGCGUUAAUCGGAAUUACUGGGCGUAAAGCGUGCGCAGGCGGUUCGUUGUGUCGGCGGUGAAAGCCCCGGGCUUAACCUGGGAACGGCCGUUGAAACUGGCGAACUGGAGUGUGGCAGAGGGGGGUGGAAUUCCGCGUGUAGCAGUGAAAUGCGUAGAGAUGCGGAGGAACACCGAUGGCGAAGGCAGCCCCCCUGGGCUAACACUGACGCCUCAGGCACGAAAGCGUGGGGAGCAAACAGG
rnacentral:rRNA from 1 species